AACGAACGCUGGCGGCGGGCCUAACACAUGCAAGUCGAACGAGAAAGCACCUGCUUGCAGGAGCGAGUAAAGUGGCGCACGGGUGAGUAACGCGUGGUUAAUCUGCCUUUGAGUGGGGAAUAACGUACCGAAAGGUGCACUAAUACCGCAUAAGACCACAGUAUCUGCGGAUACAGGGGUCAACGGGGGCUUCGGCUCCCGCUUAAAGAUGAGACCGCGUCCCAUUAGCUUGUUGGUGAGGUAACGGCUCACCAAGGCCGCGAUGGGUAGCUGAUCUGAGAGGAUGAUCAGCCACCCUGGAACUGACACACGGUCCAGACUCCUACGGGAGGCAGCAGUGAGGAAUAUUGCGCAAUGGGGGAAACCCUGACGCAGCCACGCCGCGUGGGUGACGAAGGCCUUCGGGUUGUAAAGUACUUUCAGCGGGGAGGAAGGGAGUAAAGUUAAUACCUUUACUCAUUGACGUUACCCGCAGAAGAAGCACCGGCUAACUCCGUGCCAGCCGCCGCUGUAA
rnacentral:rRNA from 1 species